AAGAAUUCAAGACACCAUUGACUCCAAUAAAGCUAGAUAUUAAAGAUCUUGAUAUUGUCAUUGAAGAGCUAACAAUACUCAAUCAAUUGGAUUGUACUAAAUGGUAUCAGUUUGGACUUCAUUUAGGAUUAUAUGAUCCAACACUAAAUGCUAUAAAGAUGGAUCAUGGACAAUGUAAGCCAUGCCUGAUACAGUGUAUGUCUGCCUGGUUAAGAGGAGAAGAUAAAGUGAGAGAGAAAGGAGGUCCCAGUUGGUCAUCAUUAGCUACAGCACUGGAUACAAUAGAAGAGAAACCCAUUGCUAGUUACAUUAGAAAUAAAUACUGUCCAUCAAAUAGUUGAUUGACUAGUUUAAAUGUUUAAUUGUUGUAUUUCUUAUUCUAUUAUUUAAUGAUAA